rnacentral:rRNA from 1 species
UACGUAGGGUGCGAGCGUUAAUCGGAAUUACUGGGCGUAAAGCGUGCGCAGGCGGUUAGCCGUGUCCCGAUGUGAAAGCCCCGGGCUCAACCUGGGAAUGGCAUUGGAAACUGGCUGGCUGGAGUGUGGCAGAGGGGGGGUGGAAUUCCACGUGUAGCAGUGAAAUGCGUAGAGAUGUGGAGGAACACCGAUGGCGAAGGCAGCCCCUGGGCCAACACUGACGCUCAGGCACGAAAGCGUGGGGAGCAAACAGG